CCUCCUAUCACUGCUACUCUUCCUUCUUCCUGCUCCUCCCAUUCAUCUAUCCUGCUUCCUGCCAUUUCUGCCUCUCCCUUUCAGAUGAUAUGUCAGUUAACGGGCAUUUCUGGAGGCCAUCCAUUCCUCAUCUAAGACUCAGGAAAGAGUGCCUGGCAUUACUUGGAUCCCCAAAUUUAACAUCUUUCCAGAGUUCUUUAUUUUCUUAGCCAAUUCAACAAAAUAAGCAACCUGUUACUCUCCCAGCAUCAAAGUGCAGACAGCAAGAACCAAUCAACGCAGAGCUUCUAGGAGUCCCAGCAUACCAAGAGUCAAGAUCUCCUUGUAUUCAUUCAUACCGCUUACCAUGACCUUUUGACUGCACCACAUAAAAGGAUGGAAAAUAGGUUGGUGGAAUAGCAAAGGUGGCAUGCAUAAGAAACAAAUAGGAACAGUACACUAGCGAUUUAAUAAAGAGUAAUCCCUUGUUAAGAGCCCUUGUUAGGAGCCCCUUUGUGCCCCGUGAUCGCGGCAACCUUGGCUCCAGCCUCAGAGUUUGGGCUGUUGAGCUAAUCUCCCUUCAGAUGCCUGUUUGCGACACUGGCCGCCUGUCCUAGAGCUCUUGCCCCUCAGCCCUUGGUUCCUUGAGCUCCCACUCACUGGGCAGCUCUCACCAGUCUGACCCCGUCAUCAUCAGCCAGCCAAUCUUUAUAUUCUGUCAAAAUCCCACAGGUUGUCUCAUGAGAGUUCUUGGUCUUCCCGGAACUCCCACGAGACAGCAGGCACAAGAUCUCGCAAGCCCACGUGAUCUCGCAAGGUCUUGUGAGAUUUCACAAUUUGAACCCGACACUCCAUUGGGGCAGGAGAGAAGCCAGAGGGGGCAAAAUGAGCCCAGCAGAGGGCUUAUCACAGUGUUCAGAGGUAAAGCCUCUGGACACCAAGGAAGGGGCCUGGCACUGGUGCCCACCACCUUUGUCAGGUGAGCAAUGAUGAUGGGACCCUGACAUCCCUACUAGAGUUUUACCUAGAGAUCUACUACUUAGAUCUAGUCUCUACUUGGAGACUAGCUAAUCUGUUUAGAAGUUGAGGACAGUUUUCUGUUUUGUAAACCACUUCCCCAGAAGAAGAGUUCGAUUCAAAAUGCAUCGGGUUCUACUCUUUAACAAAUUGCUACUGUGCUGUUCCUGUUUCUUGCUUUCCUAUUUGUUGGUGCAGUGCUUUCCCCUCCUGUGUGUUUCAUGUAUAAGAAACACACAGGCCUUCCCAAGGAUUCAAGUCUUCCUGGAGGAGCAAUACUCAUCUGAGAGAAAGGAGCUAGGAAGGAUCUAGGACAAGCAGCAAAAGCACCACAGCUACACUCUUACAGGAGUCAUCCCCAUUCAUUCACUGCAUAGGGCUCCAGGCUAGGAAGCAUGUGGACUGGGUUGAAGUCCUACCCAUGAGAACCAUAGAUUCAGGACCAAGCUUGUAUUUUGCACACCUGGCCACCAGCAGAGGCUAAAACAGGAAGCAGGGGGGACUCAAACCCACACAGCAAACUACAGAGCAACCUGCAAUGUUAGCCACCCAGUCACAGUAGCUAAGGGAGGACACACUUUGGGAACAAUAGUUUUGUGAGUGUGCUGAAAAUUCUUUGUUAAAGACCUCCAGCCCCUUCAAGAACUACAGUUCCCAGAGACCCUUGGUGGGAAACCAUGGCAGGUAAACAGGUUUGAAACUGGAUUAUGUUUGUAGUGAGGAUGUGCCCAAAAUGUCCGAGACUGACCCCUUAGCAGCUAAAAAUGGUCCGCAGAGCUGGGCCACUACCAGGUAGUUUAGAGGAGCUGUCAUUGCCUGUGGCACACAUGUCCUUUUUCUGUGUACUGUCACAGUCUCUGGUACCUCCUAAUUUCAACCACUUAUGCAACCUCCAUGGACUUUCCCAGACAGCAGGGUUUACUGUGAGGCUUUACUGCAAUUCGAAGUUGCCCCCCCCCCAAAAAAAAGACACAAGAAGUGGACUUUUUUUUUUAAACCCUGGAUAUAAAUAGGACUACAUUCUAAUGUGUAAUGAAAAAUCCAAACUGUGUGUGAAGUGCUCCCAGAUACACAGGGACUCACAGGGACUUCAAAGUAAAUCUGGCUGAUAUGUGAACUGUUGGAGUUAGGACCCUGGCAGCAUCAGCUCUCAGCUGCAAUGUCUCAUAGUGACCACUGGGGGUGGGUGGGUUAGGGUCAUG